UACGUAGGGUGCGAGCGUUGUCCGGAAUUAUUGGGCGUAAAGAGCUCGUAGGCGGUGUGUCACGUCGGCCGUGAAAACCUGCAGCUUAACUGUGGGCGUGCGGUCGAUACGGGCAUCACUGGAGUUCGGCAGGGGAGACUGGAAUUCCUGGUGUAGCGGUGAAAUGCGCAGAUAUCAGGAGGAACACCGUGGCGAAGGCGGGUCUCUGGGCCGAAUACUGCGUGGAG
rnacentral:rRNA from 1 species